rnacentral:rRNA from 1 species
GACGAACGCUGGCGGCGUGCUUAACACAUGCAAGUCGAACGGAAAGGCCCUGCUUUUGUGGGGUGCUCGAGUGGCGAACGGGUGAGUAACACGUGAGUAACCUGCCCUUGACUUUGGGAUAACUUCAGGAAACUGGGGCUAAUACCGGAUAGGAGCUCCUGCGGCAUGGUGGGGGUUGGAAAGCUUCGGCGGUUGGGGAUGGGCCCGCGGGUUAUCAGCUUGUUGGUGGGGUAGUGGAUUACCAAGGCUUGGACGGGUAGCCGGCCUGAGAGGGUGACCGGGCACCAUGGGACUGCGAUAGGGCCCAGACUCCUACGGGAGGCAGCGGUGGGGAAUAUUGCCCAAUGGGCGGACGCCUGAUGCAGCAACGCCGCGUGCGGGAUGACGGCCUUCGGGUUGUAAACCGCUUUCGCCUGUGACGAAGCGUGAGUGACGGUAAUGGGUAAAGAAGCACCGGCUAACUACGUG